UACAGAGGGUGCGAGCGUUGUUCGGAAUUACUGGGCGUAAAGCGCGCGCAGGCGGCCUUUUAAGUCUGACGGUGAAAUGCCGGGGCUCAACCCCGUGCCCGCCGGAGAUACUGGCAGGCUGGAGUAUGGUAGAGGAAGGUGGAAUUCCCGGUGUAGCAGUGAAAUGCGUAGAGAUCGGGAGGAACACCAGUGGCGAAGGCGGCCUUCUGGACCAAUACUGACGCUCAUGCACGAAAGCGUGGGGAGCAAACAGG
rnacentral:rRNA from 1 species